GGGGAUUCUUCCGCAAUGGGCGAGAGCCUGACGGAGCAAUACCGCGUGAGGGAGGAAGGCUCUUGGGUUGUAAACCUCUUUUCUCAGGGAAGAACACAAUGACGGUACCUGAGGAAUAAGCAUCGGCUAACUCCGUGCCAGCAGCCGCGGUAAUACGGAGGAUGCAAGCGUUAUCCGGAAUGAUUGGGCGUAAAGCGUCCGCAGGUGGCUGUGUAAGUCUGCUGUUAAAGAGUCUGGCUCAACCAGAUAAAGGCAGUGGAAACUACAUGGCUAGAGUGCGUUCGGGGCAGAGGGAAUUCCUGGUGUAGCGGCGAAAUGCGUAGAGAUCAGGAAGAACACCGGUGGCGAAAGCGCUCUGCUAGGCCGCAACUGACACUGAGGGACGAAAGCUAGGGGAGCGAAAGGGAUUAGAUACCCCUGUAGUCA
rnacentral:rRNA from 1 species